CCUACGGGGGGCAGCAGUGAGGAAUAUUGGUCAAUGGCCGCAGGGCUGAACCAGCCAAGUCGCGUGAGGGAUGACGGUCCUAUGGAUUGUAAACCUCUUUUGUCAGGGAGCAAAGGGAGCCACGUGUGGCGCUUUGCGAGUACCUGAAGACAAAGCAUCGGCUAACUCCGUGCCAGCAGCCGCGGUAAUACGGAGGAUGCGAGCGUUAUCCGGAUUUAUUGGGUUUAAAGGGUGCGCAGGCGGAAUGUCAAGUCAGCGGUAAAAUUUCGGGGCUCAACCCCGUCGUGCCGUUGAAACUGGCGUUCUUGAGUGAGCGAGAAGUAGGCGGAAUGCGUGGUGUAGCGGUGAAAUGCAUAGAUAUCACGCAGAACUCCGAUUGCGAAGGCAGCAUACCGGCGCUCAACUGACGCUCAUGCACGAAAGCGUGGGUAUCGAACAGGAUUAGAUACCCGUGUAGUC
rnacentral:rRNA from 1 species